rnacentral:lncRNA from 1 species
GGAAGAUUAGCCCUGAGCUAACUACUGCCAAUCCUCCUGUUUUUGCUGAGGAAGACAGGCCCUGAGCUAACAUCCAUGCCCAUCUUCCUCUACUUUAUAUGUGGGACGCCUACCACAGCAUGGCUUUUUGCCAAGCGGUGCCAUGUCCCCACCCAGGAUCCUAACUGGCAAACCCUAGAUUGCCGAGAAGUGGAAAGUCUGAACUUACGGUCUGCACCACUGGGCUGGCCCCUAUUUGGUGACUUUUUCGUUUUGUUCUGUUUUACUUUUUUCUUUAACAGCUUUCCAAAGAAAUAACUUCUGGCUCAAAUUCCUCAUUAUCCUAAUUCAGGAUUCCCCUGUUUUACCUAGUUCAAUGCAGUAAACAUCUCUUAAUUCCUGUAAAUACCUUAUCUACCCAGCAUCAUGGUAAAAGGAAGGAUAUCUAGCGUAUGAGUAAAAUUUUCUUGGAUGAUUCAAACUUAUUAAGUGCAAAAUUUUGCAUUUUAACCAUUUUAUGGGAAAAUUGCCUAAAAUAUUUUACUUGUUUCAGACUUCUAAGAUGUUAGCACCAUCACUAUUUUCUGGUGGGUAUAUAUCUAGAAGGGGAAUUAAUGAGUUCAUAGGCUAUGCAUAUACUUAGCUUCAGUAGACACGAACAGUUUUCCAAUGUGAUUGUACCAAUUUACACUCCUUCAACAGUGUAAGAGUGUUUUGGUUUUUCGACAUGCUCACCAACACUUGGUCUGUCAAUUUCAUUUUAUCCUUUCUGAUGGCCAUGUGAUAGUGUCACACUGUAGUGCUGGUUUGCAAUUCUCUGAUGACUAAGAAAGUGCAGCACCUUCUCAUAUAUUAUUGGCCAUUUGGAUAUUUUUGUUAAUGGUCUAUUCAAGUCUUUUGCCCAUAUUUCUUUUGGAUUUCCUAUCUUUUAAAUCCUCAUUUGUGGUAGUUUGUCUAAAUUCUGUAUUUAAGUUCGUCAUAUAUAUUUAUUGCAAAUAUAUUUUUCCACUUGCUGGGUUGCAUUCUUAUUCUCUUAAUGAUUUCUUUUGAUAAAUGGAAGCUCUUAAUUUUAACAGAGUCUAAUUUAUAAGUUAUUCCUUUAAUAGUUAACAUUUUCUGUGGCCUGUUUAAGAAUUAUUUGCCAGGACUGGCCCAGUGGCACAGUGGUUAAGUUUGCACAUUCUGCUUCAGUGGCUCAGUGCUCACUGGUUCAGAACCCAGGUGCAACCUACACACUGCUUGUGAAGCCAUGCUGUGGCAGCAUCCCACAUAUAAAGUGGAGGAAGAUGGGCACGG